GAUGAACGCUGGCGGCGUGCCUAAUACAUGCAAGUCGAGCGAACAGACGAGGAUCUUGCUCCUCUGACGUUAGCGGCGGACGGGUGAGUAACACGUGUAUAACCUACCUAUAAGACUGGGAUAACUUCGGGAAACCGGAUCUAAUACCGGAUAAGAUAUUGAACCGCAUGGUUCAAUAGUGAAAGACGGUUUUGCUGUCACUUAUAGAUGGAUCCGCGCCGCAUUAGCUAGUUGGUAAGGUAACGGCUUACCAAGGCAACGAUGCGUAGCCGACCUGAGAGGGUGAUCGGCCACACUGGAACUGAGACACGGUCCAGACUCCUACGGGAGGCAGCAGUAGGGAAUCUUCCGCAAUGGGCGAAAGCCUGACGGAGCAACGCCGCGUGAGUGAUGAAGGUCUUCGGAUCGUAAAACUCUGUUAUUAGGGAAGAACAAAUGUGUAAGUAACUAUGCCCGUCUUGACGGUACCUAAUCAGAAAGCCACGGCUAACUACGUG
rnacentral:rRNA from 1 species